AGACCCUCUUCUGAAAGAAGACCAGGGAGACAACAGAACAAGGUCCUGAAAGAACCAGAAGAGGGAGUUAAGAGGAGGGGGUCCUGGGCCUGCUGCGCCAUGAACUGACUGAGGGACUCGGCAAAUCAAUCAUCUCACUAGCCAUGAAACAAAGUAUUUUCCUCUGCAAAAUGGAAAGAAGCUGUCAAGCAUCCUGUGGCUUGUUUGCUCCCAUCAGCUUGUUUGCUGGAAGGAAGCCCAUUUACUCUUGGAUGGAAACUCAAGUUGGCAAGCAACAGCAGCUUUCUACAACGAGAGGAUUCUGCCAACACCUUGAGCCAACACCAUUGCUGAACGGUGCUGAGGCUGCCUGGAGAAGGAAGAUUAUCACCUUCUACCUGUAUCAUCUACCUAAUAGGAAUGGACAGUCAGCAAGAGGUGAUAACAGAAGUGAGAC